rfam:Triticum urartu cultivar G1812 contig88656, whole genome shotgun sequence.
CAUGUACUCUCUCUGUCCUGAAUUAUUUGUUGCAGAAAUGGAUAAAAAUGGAUGUAUCUAUAACUAAAAUACAUCUAGAUAUAUCCAUUUCUACGACAAGUAAUUCCAGAUGGAGGGAGUAGUAU